rnacentral:rRNA from 1 species
CAAGUCGAACGGAAUAAUGACUUCGGUUGUUGUUUAGUGGCGGAAGGGUUAGUAAUACAUAGAUAAUCUGUCCUCAACUUGGGAAUAACGGUUGGAAACGACCGCUAAUACCGAAUGUGGUAUGUUUAGGCAUCUAAAACAUAUUAAAGAAGGGGAUCUUCGGACCUUUCGGUUGAGGGAGAGUCUAUGGGAUAUCAGCUUGUUGGUGGGGUAAUGGCCUACCAAGGCUUUGACGUCUA